AGUCUGUAUUUAGGCUCAGAAGGUAGAAAACUAUUUUAUAAGAGUCUUCAAUGUCAAUGUCAGUAGAUGCGUUCAGAUUAUGAUAUAUUUGGGCUUUGGAUAUGUUUCUUUGCAUUUUAACGUCAGCUAGAAAGAGCAACACCCUUUUAAAACAUUAAAAAGAACUCCUGUCUCAAAGUGGUUGGCGGCCUUUCGAUGUGAAUUUCUAUUGGCUCCGGUAACCACUUAACACCAGGAGAAGAGAAAUGUGUGAGUCACACGUGGUGACCGUGACCGGCCAUCAUUUCAUCUAUCCUGCGUCAAUUCUGUGCCUCACAGUACGAUCCACUUCGCCGUUGCUUUGGAUAACAGACCCUAUCGGAAUCGGUAUCGGAAGUCUUGACAUACUGGCAAAGGUGCUCCGUCGAGAGCAAUGGGUGUAAAAUUGGAGAGACCGCCAAAAUCACAGAACAGAUGUUCGGUUUUCGAUCUGCUGAUUUUUAGGCCAACACUCUCCAACUUACAUCAUUAUUUCUUCAGUACGUUUUGGACCUCGAGCCCGUUUUCUCCGACGAGCACUAUGUCAUCGGCAAACAGUAUACACCAAGGGGCCUCUUCCUGUAUCUCCGACGUCAAGGCAUCCAUCACCAGCAGGAAGAGAUAAGGACUUAGCGCAGACCCUUGGUGUAAACCCACUACCACAUUGAACUCGUCGGAAUUCGUUUAAAUAUAUACAUAUGUAGAUAAUGAACACCCGGGCAAAGAGCAAACAAAUCGGUUUAUCACACGAAUGUUUGCCCGUGCGGGAAUCGAACCCACGACCUUCGGUGCAGCAGUCAGGGGCGCUACCUAUUGCGCCACCUAGUCAGUCAGAUAACACAUGUCACAUAUUGUACUUAUACGAACAAUACUGUACGUUUCUUUACUUAAUUUGCGAAGUUUUUUUUACUCUGUACUUUAUUUUAUGUUGAUUCUAUCAUAGAUUAUUUGGAAGACGUCUUUACUAACAACAAGUGAGCUUUUGCGCUAAAUUGGUUCUAUUUAAGCUGUUAUCUUAUUUGUCUUGCUUGGGAGUGAUGGAAUGCAAACAAGAAACACACACAACUAAGCUAC